AAAAUUCCAACUUUCAAAAUUAUCUGGAAUAUGAAAUUUUUCUUUUCUUCGACAUUUCGGACGUCGGAACACCUACAAUGAAAACGAUACGUAAUAAGUCAAGUCGAAAUCGUUUUAUUUCAUUUUCACGCCAAAAACAACAAAAACGCUCUCCAAAUCAGAACUGACCCACAGGUGUUGUUGGGGCCAAUACAACCACCACCACAGCAACAACGACAACUACAAUGGAGGACAUCGGAUUAGCCGCAGCAUUCGAAUAUGAGCGAAAGAAAUAAGUACAAGCUAUUGUUGUCGGGAUAAACGGGUUCUACGCCUGAAAAUUUGUUACGGGCAUUUAGCAAAACAAGAGGUGGUGGGGAGUUGAACCUAUUGGAAAGAGAACAGAUUCUAUGUUGAUAUGACCCACAACAAAUGCCCUCCUGAAGACAACAUUUGUUAGCAGCACAUCUAAAAUAUGAAAAUGGACAUGAAUAAAAUCUGUAGAACUGUUUGCUGGAAAUGGAACACGUGGUCAGAAGGAUUCCAGCUCUAUCGGCUAGCCACAUUUCCAAUUUGUUUCCAGCCCUAUCGGUUCACCGAAAUCCAAAUUAUACCAAAUUAAGUACCAUUUAGCGCACAUAAGUACGUAUUCCUACAUGCCUCAAUCCUACACUUCCACAGUAAUUCUAAU